rnacentral:rRNA from 1 species
AUUGAACGCUGGCGGCAGGCCUAACACAUGCAAGUCGAGCGAGCGGCGGACGGGUGAUUAAUGUAUGGGGACUGCCCGAUAGAGGGGGAUAACUACUGGAAACGGUAGCUAAUACCGCAUACUAUCGGAUAACCCAGAUGGGAUUAGCUAGUAGGUGAGGUAAUGGCCCACCUAGGCGACGAUCCCUAGCUGGUCUGAGAGGAUGAUCAGCCACACUGGGACUGAUACACGGCCCAGACUACUACGGAGGCAGCAGUGGGGAAUAUGGGACAAUGGGCGAAAGCCUGAUGCAGCCAUGCCGCGUGUAUGAAGAAGGCCCUAGGGUUGGAAAGUACUUGAAGUCGGGAGGCGUUACCAACAGAAGAAGCACCGGCUAACUCCGUGCCAGCAGCCGCGGUAAUAC